CCUGUGAAAAUGGUGUGAGGAUGACGCAGGCGGGCACCCGUCCAGCACCGCCACAUCACGGCCCCCGCGCUUGCCGUAGGCCGGGUGGUCCGAGGCGUGACAGUCCAAUUAAAAGAUUCCUCGUCGACAGAGACACGACUCCACAGAGGAAACGAGUGUUUGUAGUCACAGAUAAGAGCUGAAAGAGAGAAACAAAGCUCCAACAGGUGCAGCAGGAGUGUUCAAAGUAACCCAGGAAACAGUGUUUGUGAAGCGGUCGGCACAGAUGUGGGCGGUGAUGUCAAAUGGAGGCUGACAGGAUGACAGAAUCCUUUCACUUUCUGUCUCAGCGAUGCAUAAUUGAGCUGCUGAUACUCAGAGCCAACAUUCACUCUGUGCCAAACCUGUCUGCUGAAUGAUUUCUCCUGUUAUGAGUCCUAAUGCAGCAAGAGGUUCAGGUGGAGUGUCUGACUGAAGUUAAUGUUUAUUCAUGUUAUUUGUUUCUGAAGCGGAAGUCUGUCGUGUCUGUGUUAGAUUUCUUUGUUGUAAGCCUCAGAGGAACAAACAGCUGGAGGGAUAAAAGAGGGCUUUAAAAUUUAAACAGCUUGAAUUCAGUUUUCAUAUCUGGUUACAUGCUGCCCAUAGUCUUUUUGAAACCAGAUGACAGACUAUCCCAAAGUCCCUGAUAUCCUGUGGCUGCGCUGAAAGAUGGCUACCAUCACACAGUUGGUUUAAAAGACAAAAGAAAGACCAAAUGUGUCAAUGACUGUGAGGAUAAAUCUCCGGAUGUCAAGUGUUAUCCUACAUCUGUGCUUUUAACUGGGGGACAGAACAGAGUUUGCACUAAAACUUAGAGUUGUCACAAUACCCGAUAUAUAAAUAGUAAAAUCAACCUGUAUUGAUUCUGAAUCUGGUACCACAGUAACAAAAAAUAAGACCUGGGCUCAAGAAUUGGGCAAGUGUCUGGAUUUUAAUUUCCAACCUGCUCUACGUGUUGGCACAGAAACAACCAGUGGAUGCACUGCAACACUUAACAAAGCUUGAAAGGUAAUUAGAGGAUGUCCCUCAACACAAUGAGUGGCUUCUGAUUAAGGGUGCCAUCCAACACAUCACUUAUAAUCCAUGCUGUGUGGUUUCCUCUGCCUACUAUUUUUGUGAGUUUUUGAGCAUUGGUACUGUUCAGACUGUUAAAGAAGAUGACAUAACAACCACUCCGAGCUUCCCCUGCUGAUUGGCUACACUAUAGAUCAUAAACCCUGCCUCCUCCAUGUUAACAAAUGGGACAUGGGUCAAACUCUAAAAUCCAAACACAGGUCAAAUAAAUGUUU